AUUUCUUGAUUGGAUUAUUUGUUCUUUGGGUGUUGAGUUUGUUUUGAGGACUAAAGAGUGAAGUGUUUGCUGUCCAAAAGUGGAAGGACACAGAUUCGAGACCAGAGACACUGGAAAACUGAAAAAAUAGUGAGCCUUUAUUGACUUGGGAAAGAAAACAGGUACCUGAAAAUGAGGGAUUCAUCAAUGGGACUGCUAAAACAGGACCAACUAGAAAGAAGGGCUCACUGACUUCUGAGUCAAAGACAGAAGAGGAUUAUACUGUGAAGAAUGAAAACGCAGACAUUUCAGAUCAGCAGGAUCGCAAGAUGGACACCUGAGGCCCACAGCAAGUGGCUUGCCCAUGGUCACAAGGAAAGUGAAUGAAAAGAGGAACUUUAGGAAGAGAUGGGAAGAGAGGAACUACUGAAGGAGACUACUGAGAAGGAACACGCU